rnacentral:lncRNA from 1 species
GAAGAGAAAGACAAAUGGCAAGAAUCCUCUUCCAAUUAUUCAAGUUCAAGUGCAGAAGAGAAUGAUUCCUAUUCCAAGAGCUCUAGAGGAAACAUUAAACACAGGCCUAGGUUCACAUCCAGAAAAUUGAAGGAACAAGGAAUUUUGUCUAAUUCUGGGCACUGGCAAAGCUCUGGGGAAAGGAAAGACUCAAGUUCAAGCCACUUUGAGCACAGUGAAAACAAUAAGCAUGG